AGGCAGGCACAGGCCGGGAGUGAAGCUCGCAGCAGCCAGCCAGCCAGCUAUCCGUUGUGCUCGUCUCGUCCUCCCCGACGAACGGCAGCCGGCCCCAAACACCGGACGGUAGAGUAAAGCAAUGGUCCACGAGGCGUGGCGUAGCGGCGGAUCGGAGCUCUAGUCUAGUCCCAUCGAGCUAGCGGCCGGCAAGAAGACAUCGCACGAUUACCGCCGGAUGACGCAACUGCCAACGCCUGCACCUCUUCAUUCACCCGCAUCCUGCGGCCACGGGCCACCACGGUGGCUAGCGGCUGCCGAGGCCGCCACGAUCCACGGCUCCGCCAACUUGUAAUCGUUGCUUUGGCUUGGCACUUCUCUGUAGUUCUGUUCUCGUUGCGGCUUUUAGCCUGACGUCUAAAAGAUGCCAAAGUUAUCGUUAUCUUGUUAGUUAAGAUGCCAAU
rnacentral:lncRNA from 7 species